GAUGAACGCUAGCGGCAGGCCUAAUACAUGCAAGUCGAGGGGCAGCGCGGUAGCAAUACUGGCGGCGACCGGCGCACGGGUGCGUAACACGUAUGCAACCUACCUUCAACUGGAGGAUAGCCCGGGGAAACUCGGAUUAAUACUCCAUAACACAGGGAUCCCGCAUGGGAAUAUUGUUAAAGCUACGGCGGUUGAAGAUGGGCAUGCGUUCGAUUAGCUAGUUGGUGUAGGUAACGGCUCACCAAGGCUACGAUCGAUAGGGGGUCUGAGAGGAUGAUCCCCCACACUGGUACUGAGAUACGGACCAGACUCCUACGGGAGGCAGCAGUAGGGAAUAUUGGUCAAUGGGCGCAAGCCUGAACCAGCCAUGCCGCGUGCAGGAAGAAGGGCCCCUCUGGGUUGUAAACUGCUUUUGAUAGGGAACAAAUGCCACUUGCGAGUGGAGCUGAGUGUACCUAUAGAAUAAGCCACGGCUAACUACGUGCCAGCAGCC
rnacentral:rRNA from 1 species